rnacentral:tRNA from 1 species
AAAGAUUUAGUUUAAAAAAACAUUAAUUUGUCAAAUUAAAAUUAUUAAUUAAAAUUUUAAUAAUCUUUA